rnacentral:lncRNA from 1 species
AGGGGCUUGCAGCCUAGGGUGGCAGUGACAAAGAAGAGCCAAGGACACAGUCAAAACACAAGCCUCAGGGGCCAGUUGUGGAAAUAUCACUCCCCUCAAGGGAAAUGAUAGAAUCCGAAACAAGAGCACCUGAGCCCAGAGAAGCCAGAAUGGUGUUGGAACGCAGAGAGGAUGAGAGCCGGAGUGAGGACCAGGCUGGAGGCAAUAGGGAGGCCCAAGGAGAGAGAGAGACAUGGGGAAACAGCCAGUCUGUGGAGCGUCAGAACGUACGUCGACGUCGCACUGACAGAUUAAGUUUGUCGUCUUAUAAAAAGACCUGGACAUCAGUGAGAAAGGUGGAGUAAGGGCCUACAGAAAACUGCUCCUCCAUAAAAGCAAUGAGAACACUGGCAAAAAUUGUAAAUAUCAUCUUUUUAAGAAUAUGGGAAAUUAACCAGAUGCUUGCAAAAUCCAAGGAAUGUUUAUUAAAAAAAAAAAAAAAAACUAAGGUUUGUGGUGUUUUAAUGCACCCUAAUCCCAUGGUCCUUUCCUAAGAUCUGA